rnacentral:rRNA from 1 species
AGAGUUUGAUCCUGGCUCAGGACGAACGCUGGCGGCGCGCUUAACACAUGCAAGUCGAGCGAUAACCAUGGCUUCGGCCAUGGGGAGAGCGGCGAACGGGUGAGUAACACGUGAGCGAUCUGCCCUCGACACUGGGAUAGCCCGGGGAAACCCGGAUUAAUACCGGAUAGCCUCUCGAGCCCACGGGCUCGUGAGAAAAGAUGGCUUCGGCUUUCGGUUGAGGAGGAGCUUGCGGCGGAUUAGCUUGUUGGUGAGGUAACGGCUCACCAAGGCGACGAUCCGUAGCUGGUCUGAGAGGACGAUCAGCCACACUGGGACUGAGACACGGCCCAGACUCCUACGGGAGGCAGCAGUGGGGAAUCUUGCGCAAUGGGCGAAAGCCUGACGCAGCGACGCCGCGUGUGGGAUGACGGUCUUCGGAUUGUAAACCACUGUCGGGAGGGACGAAUACGCCGCAAGGCGGGUGACGGUACCUCCAAAGGAAGCACCGGCUAACUCCGUGCCAGCCGCCGCGGUAAUUC